rnacentral:rRNA from 1 species
GGUGGGCGACUCUAAAGGGACUGCCGGUGUUAAACCGGAGGAAGGUGGGGAGUGACGUCAAGUCCUCAUGGCCUUUAUGACCAGGGCUACACACGUACUACAAUGGCCGAUACGAAGGGCAGCGACACUGCGAGGUGAAGCCAAUCCCGUAAAAUCGGUCUCAGUCCGGAUUGGAGUCUGCAACUCGACUCCAUGAAGUUGGAAUCGCUAGUAAUCGUGGAUCAGCAUGCCACGGUGAAUACGUUCCCGGGCCUU